AUUGAACGCUGGCGGCAGGCCUAACACAUGCCAGUCGAGCGGAGCGGCGGACGGGUGAGUAAUGCCUAGGAAUCUGCCUGGUAGUGGGGGAUAACGUCCGGAAACGGGAGCUAAUACCGCAUACUAUCAGAUGAGCCUAGGUCGGUUUAGCUAGUUGGUGGGGUAAAGGCCUACCAAGGAGAAGAUCCGUAACUGGUCGGAGAGGAUGAUCAGUCACAUUGGAACUGAGAUAGGGUCCAGACUCCGAAGGGAGGAAGCAGUGGGGAAUAGUGGACAAUGGGCGAAAGCCUGAGCCAGCCAUGCCGCGUGUGUGAAGAAGGUCUUCGGAUUGUAAAGCACUUUAAGUUGGGAGGCGUUACCAACAGAAUAAGCACCGGCUAACUUCGUGCCAGCAGCCGCGGUAAUAC
rnacentral:rRNA from 1 species